AUUAAUUGUUUUUCUCAUUUCUGUGGUAAACUAAUAGGGCUCCAUAUUUAUUUAUUGGUUUAAAGUAUCUAUAUUUGCACUCUUGCAUCAUGCAUGUAACUAUUCAUUACAUUCUGGUCGGUAAACUGAAGAACAAACGUUUAGAGGAGCACACAAUAAAGAGGACAAUGGUUACUUUCAUAUGCUCUUAUUUUGUGCGAUACAGUCCAUUAGAAGUUGUAUGCAGUAUGUUAGUCGUGUGAUUUCACCUUGAUGAUGAUAUUUGAUCCUUAUAAUCAGGAUGGACGUUUUGCUAUGAUAUUAUACCCCUUGUCCUCUUCUUCUAUCUUCCAAUUUUUAUAAAUUGUACAGUUCUUGUCUAAGCUGCAUGCCAUGAUUGGGCUAUCUAGGAGUUGUGAUAGAAUCAGUAUUUCGAUAUGUACCCUGCGGAGUGAAACGUGGAAAUAUGCUUCGUUGGUUGACUGCAUUUAUAGCAUUGAUGAAUUUGCCAAUUACGUUUCAUGGGACCCCAUUGAUGAUCUGAUGCUGAUUAAAGUUGGGGUUUUUUAUUUGCAGGAAGAGACUUUUUCAGAUGAUAAAUGAAGUCCCCACAAUAUUUGAAGUAGUGUCAGGAAACGCUAAGCAACCUAAAGACCAUUCUGCAACGCAUAACAACAGCGGUAAAAGCAAAUCAAGUGCGAAGAUGGUAAGAGAAUAUGAGCUUUUGAUUCAUACAUGCUUAUGCUGUACGAUUUUAUUGAUUUCUGGAAUUUGGUUUACUUAUUACAUAUAUAUACUCUUUGGUGUUGGGUAUGUAAAGCAAUCUCGGCACCCGGAACCCCUUACAAAGACGGUGAAGACGACUCCACCGCCACCGAAGGAGGAAGAUGAGAGCGGGGAAGAGGAUGAAGAGGAUGAUGAACAAGGUGCAACAUGUGGGGCAUGUGGUGAAAGCUACGGAACAGACGAAUUCUGGAUCUGCUGCGACAUAUGUGAGAGAUGGUUUCACGGGAAAUGCGUGAAGAUUACUCCGGCAAAGGCGGAGCACAUCAAGCAGUAUAAAUGCCCAGGGUGCAGUGGGAAGAGGGCAAGAGUUUAGGGAGAUGAUUAGGAGGAAGAAGAAGAAGAAGAAGAAGGUGAUGUAGUGAAGAAGAAGAAGAAGCAUUUUUUUUUUUUUUUCGUGAUCCGUAAGCUUGGAUGCAGAAGCUGUUUUAAAAGUGGAAAAACUUAACCAACUGGCCCAAUUUAGGCACCCAUUUUUAGGAAGUAACGAAAAUGACUGGUGAUCGGAGGAAUAUUUAUCUUAUUAUUAUCCUUUUUGCAAUGGUGUUCAUGUUGGUUCUUUAGUUAUUCUGUUUUGCCCUUUUUCAGUAAUCUUAUUUGGUUUCCUUCAGCUGAUGUUGUCAGGAAUCUGGGAUAGUCGUUGGAACUUGGAAUUGUAGGUGUCGUGUUACAAAGGUUGAUGUUGUGAUUUGUAUGCAAUGUUGAUAUUGGUCGGCUCGCGAAGAUGGUGUGGACAUCUAUUCGUAGCCAUCACCAUGAUCAGAAUGGGUCGUUUUUAAUUUCGAUGGAUCUGUUAUUGUUGAGAGCGGACAUGUUGGAUGCAUUUUUUGAGAUAUUGAUGGUUGUUGUUUUGUAGUGUACACCAUGAAUUUGGAAUCAUGUUUGAUUAUAAGGACUGAAUUGAGAGGUGUGGUGAAAUGGUUGCAAAUUGCUAGGUAGAGAUGGUAACACAUAGUACAUGUGAAGUCGAACUCUUGCUACGGUCCAACUUUUGCUUUUGUGGAGAGGGGAGUGAGUGAGAUAACACACUAAUAUUUUUUUGAGGUAAUCAAUUUCCAUGAGAUGUUGGAUUGAAAUUUAAAACUAAUUAGAUGGUCAAAGAGGAGCAUAUUUAUCAGUAAUCGGGAAGCUAAUUUGUUAGCUAGCCUUCGACAUAAUAGGCCCAUCAGUGUUCGCUCUUUUUUGUAUUUUUACCCUUUGGUAUCCUCAUCAUUUCGUAUAAGACUUAUUCAAAAAAAUUCCAAUCUCGUUUGAUUGCAAAUGAAAGAUAUUUUUACAUAAUGGUUGCCGUAAUUAACAGCACACAACAAAGAAGAAGGGUUUAUGGUAGAAAAUUCUAACUUGUGUUAGAGAUAGUUUCUUGUAGACUUAACAUGUUUCGCAACAAUCGGUGAUUAAGGUCAAAGAAGGUGGUUAUAAGGUGGUGUUUUCAAUAUGGUGGUAGCUUAAAAUUGCGGUUAGAUACUAGUGCAAAUUUAUUUUAGUUUUUGUUAGCCACGCAACAUUGAAGUCUUUUUUUGAAACCUGGAGUUACAAUUGUUGAAGGUCUUGUGAGGUAAAUAUUUCCAUUCUUCUUAAGGUUAUGCAAGUGGAAGGUCAGAAUCGUCGUUCGUAGGGUUGGUAGAGUAUCUUACAUGACUAAGAGCUUCUCUGUAAGGGUGUUCAACGACAAUUGAAAAAUGGUGAUUCCAUUAAUGCAGUAAUUGAUCUUUGAUUAUAUCACCGCAAUCUUGUAUAUAAAUAGUUAAUGAUAUUCAUGAAAAUUUGGAUUUUAAAUCAUACAUAUAUUUUUAUACUUCGUGUCAUUUUUUUGUUAAUAUUACUAUAAACGAGACUUUCCAAAACACCAUCUCAAAGAAUCACAUGUUUCGGUCAAGCACUCUGGGCAGUCAACGCUAGACCUGACGAGGACAUCUCCAUCUACUCCAACUUUGAUGAAACCGUUCAUCUCAUUAGCUCUUCGAUCAGGGACCAAAGAGCUGACCAAUUACUAACUGAAUGCCGCCUUCUGCUCCGGACCCUCUCAUUACUUUCCCUUCAUUUAUAACCGCAUCGCCCGUUUAAGGACAUGUGAGGCUCUUUAUUAUUCGGACGUUAAUUUUUCAAUUCCUUUACAGUACAGCAUUCCUCCUUCGGAAUAAUUUUUUUCUCUUGGAAUAUCAUGUCCUAAUAUUUUCGACAAAAAGCAGACUCGUUGUUUCCUAUAACCUAAGUUUACAAGUUGAAGGACUCAUAAGCUCAAAGUGUAAAACUAUAGGAACUUAACAGAAUGUUUCUGUGCCUUUCCCUUUAGGAAAUUGGGGGAAUUAUUAACUGAUAAUAAUAAAAGAAAAUAACAAUCCAAAAAUUUUCGCUCCUCCUUCUCUCCUUCCUUCCUACCUCCUCUUUCUUUUGUUGCUUUCUCCCAAAUCUGAAAAAAUUAGACUUUGCAAACCCUAGACCUAAUUUCCUCUUAAUCAAAAUCAUACUACUCCUGUAUUUUGAUUUCUCUCCAAACCCUAAUUCCUUCUUUCAAUUUUGUCCAUUCUCUUGUUAUUAUUGUCCAUUCUCUUGUUAUUAUCCUUUUCAGUUACGUACAAUCCAUCUCGCCUGCAUUUCUAUCUGUCUAUGCUCACUCUGGAAGACUGAGAGCAAUUUAAUAUCCAGAAGACAAGUUCCUUUCAAAUUCAUCCCAAUAAACAUAGAAAAACCAGCUUCAAACGCGCCAUGGAGGGGAUACCGCACCAUGUACCUCGAACUGUAGAAGAGGUCUUUAGCGACUUCAAAGGCAGACGCGCUGGAUUGAUCAAAGCUCUCACUAUGGGUCUCUCUUUUUUCUAAACAUUUUUCAUUUCUGCUUCUCUGUUGUCUAUUUUCGACAAAAAGCAGACUCGUUGUUUCCUAUAACCUAAGUUUACAAGUUGAAGGACUCAUAAGCUCAAAGUGUAAAACUAUAGGAACUUAACAGAAUGUUUCUGUGCCUUUCCCUUUAGGAAAUUGGGGGAAUUAUUAACUGAUAAUAAUAAAAGAAAAUAACAAUCCAAAAAUUUUCGCUCCUCCUUCUCUCCUUCCUUCCUACCUCCUCUUUCUUUUGUUGCUUUCUCCCAAAUCUGAAAAAAUUAGACUUUGCAAACCCUAGACCUAAUUUCCUCUUACUACUCCUGCCUUUUGAUUUCUCUCCAAACCCUAAUUCCUUCUUUCAAUUUUGUCCUUUCUCUUGUUAUUAUCCUUUUCAGUUACGUACAAUCCAUCUCGCCUGCAUUUCUAUCUGUCUAUGCUCACUCUGGAAGACUGAGAGCAAUUUAAUAUCCAGAAGACAAGUUCCUUUCAAAUUCAUCCCAAUAAACAUAGAAAAACCAGCUUCAAACGCGCCAUGGAGGGGAUACCGCACCAUGUACCUCGAACUGUAGAAGAGGUCUUUAGCGACUUCAAAGGCAGACGCGCUGGAUUGAUCAAAGCUCUCACUAUGGGUCUCUCUUUUUUCUAAACAUUUUUCAUUUCUGCUUCUCUGUUGUCGUACUUUCUUCGCAUUUCUCCAAUUGGCUAAUGUUUCUAACUUUUAUUUUGAUUUGACGUACGCAUCUCUUUCUGGCUGUAAUUAUCUCCUGAUGUUUUUGAUUUUCUCUUGCAGAUGUUGAGAAGUUUUACCAGCAGUGUGACCCUGGUGGGUUCCGGUUAUCCGUUUGAAUUUUCUCUCUUUCUCUCUCUAUAAUAUCUUCAAAAGAAUACAAAACUCCAGAAUUAUUAAGUGGUUUCAUCGGUUUUGCUUCAGGGUUUAGAUGCACUCUUAUGUCAGCGGCUUUGUAAUUCUGCAAUUUUUUUUGUUUGGAAGGUUGAACUCGGUCAUUAGAAGUGUUAUUACUAUGUGUUUUAUUUAUUGUUCUUAUCAAUGGUUUCCUCUGCAUGGCGGGGUUUUUGUGAGUUUAUUACAACCCCUUUUUUUUUAGGAUAUUUUGUUUAUGUUUUGUGUGGAGCGUUUUGUGAUUUUGGAUUAAUAGUUCGUUCCAUGUUUGUUGGUCCUUCUUGAAAUUUGUGCUUAAGGCAAAUCAAUCACAAUGGGUAAUUAGUGGCCAUGAGUAUGACAUAUAUUCUCAUUUCUGUCUGUAACUAAAACCCAAAACGUUUACUGUGUUAACUUUUAUCCUGGAUUAUUAUUAAAUUUGUAGCUUGACUAAUGUGGUUAGCUUAAAACAGCUUUCUUUCUUGUUGUAUUGUACUCUGCUUGUGUUUGUCAUUCGUGUUACUUGUUGAACUGUAGGCGGACUUGAGCUAUGCAAGCACCUCAGUUACUCAGUUGACUUAGGAAAUAAGGCAGAAUGUGAAAUUCCAAGCCUCGCAUUUGGUCUUUUGAGCGCUUGAUGGCUCUAAAUACUGAUGUAGUUGGACUAAACUUUGAUGAUUAAGAGUAAUUGCUACAUCCUGACAUUUGAAUUUCUGUGUUUUUAAACCAAACCGGUUUUUGCUCUCCAGCAUGUUUGUGCUGGAUUCUCUGUUUUUUAUGUGUGUUAGCUUCUGUACAGCUCGUGUACCAAUCCAUUAUAGUUAAAAUGUAUUGAACAGUUCAGUUCCUAAUUCUGAAGCUAGCCAUAUUACACUUAGUUUACUCCAUUCUUCAUGGUGGUUUGUUUGCUGUGAUUUUUCUCUUCAGUACGUUUUUGCUGCUGCAUGCCUUCAUGUGCACACAGAAGAAAGGCGUGCUUUUAAAGACCUCAUAUCCCUUUUUGAAUGUACAUGCCUAAAACAUUUGCAUUGUUGUUGAAUUUUAGAGUCUUUUAUUUCAGCGAGUGGCAUAGCAUUUGAUGAUGUGGUUUGAUAUGAAUGUGUGGUGUAGGUAUGGUGGCUAAAGUAUGUUAUUGAUAUUCACUGUGAUUGAAUUACAUGUGACCAUUUGGUAAUUAAUUGCCUGUAAUACUACUCUAUGAUUAUGCUGGGUUUUGUGGUAUAUAUUCUGUCCCAGUUAGCCCCAGUUUCUAAUAUCUCGUCAAUAUUUGUUACAAGUGUUCGGCAAGGUACAACGUGUUUUACCCUACUUCUUCCAUAUACCCACUUUCCUGACAUUCAGAAAGCUUGAUAACGUCAACUCUCUUUCUGUCAACUUUACCUUUGUGGCAUUGGUGGUUAACAUCUCAUUUUUAAGCUAGCGAAAUAUACAUCCUUUACAUUUUUGUUUCUCUGGAAUUAGUUUUCUGUGAUUUACCAUAGUGUUCUUCACUUUUUUCCAUCCAGCAGAGUUUUCUCUGGUAUUGUAAUCUUUGUUAUAGAGGACAUUGUUUGGUUUGUCUGCAUAAUGUUUUCCUCUUAGCUCUUUGCUUUUACUUUUCAGGCAUGAAAAUCUUUUUGAUUUGUGUGUAUCUGGCUUAUGUUAAGUUCUUGAUGUAUGAUGGGCUGACUUUAUCUGAACAGAGAAGGAGAACCUGUGUCUUUAUGGACUUCCAAAUGAGAACUGGGAAGUGAAUUUGCCCGUUGAGGAAGUACCACCUGAGCUUCCUGAGCCUGCGUUAGGCAUUAAUUUUGCUAGAGAUGGGAUGCAAGAGAAGGAUUGGUUGUCACUUGUUGCAGUUCACAGUGAUUCAUGGUUGCUUGCUGUUGCCUUUUACUUUGGAGCACGUUUUGGGUUUGGUAAGAACGAAAGGUACGGUCCAAUCCUGUUUUAUAGCUAUUUGCUUGCUGCAAUCUGUGAAUAGAUAAUCCCACUUGUAUUGCUGAUUUAAAAGUUGCACUAUGUUGGUAGUGUACUAUGCCCAACAGAGCAAAACCACAGCUAGUUGCAAUUAUAUACAUUUUAAAGGCGUCUGAAGUUGUUUGGCAGGCAUUAAAUGUUUUUCUCAUUUCUGUGUUAAAUUAAUAAUGCUCCAUGUUUAUAUUUGCACGCUUGCAUCAUGCAUGUAACUAUUCAUUACAUUCUGGUCAGGAAACUAAAGAACAAACGUUUAGAGGACAAAAUAAAGAUGACAAUGGUUAUUUUCAUAUGCUCUUAUUUUGUGCUACAUAGUAUAUCACAUCUUAUAGUCCAUAAGAAGUUGAUGCAGUAUGUUAGCGGUGUGAUUUCACCUUGAUGAUGAUAUUUGAUCCUUAUAAUCAAGAUGAAAGAUUUGGUAUGAUACCCUUGACCUCUGACUUCUUCUAUCUUCCAAUUUUUAUAAAUUAUACUGUUCUUGUCUAAGUUGCAUGCCAUCGGCCGUCGACGGUUGGGCUAUCUAGGAGUUGUGAUAGAAUCAGUAUCUCAAUAUCUACACUGCGCAUUGAAACCUGGAAAUAUGUUUCGUUGUUGAACUGCAUUUAUUAUUAACUGAUAUUGGAAAAACUAUUGUCUCACUAUGAAAGCUGAAAUAACAUUGAUGAACUUGCCAAUUACGUUUCGGAAAUAAUGCUCUCUGAUGCUGAGUGGAAUUUUUAUUUUCAGGAAGAGACUUUUUCAGAUGAUAAAUGAAGUCCCCACAAUAUUUGAAGUAGUGUCAGGGAACGCUAAGCAACCUAAAGACCAUUCUGCAACGCAUAACAACAGCGGUAAAAGCAAAUCAAGUGCGAAGAUGGUAAGAGAAUAUGAGCUUUUGAUUCAUACAUGCUUAUGCUGUAUAAUUUUAUUGAUUUCUGGAAUUUGGUUUACUUAUUACAUAUAUAUACUCUUUGGUGUUGGGUAUGUAAAGCAAUCUCGGCACCCGGAACCCCUUACAAAGACGAUGAAGAUGACUCCACCGCCACCAAAGGAGGAAGAUGAGAGCGGGG
rnacentral:lncRNA from 1 species